rnacentral:rRNA from 1 species
GACGAACGCUGGCGGCGUGCUUAACACAUGCAAGUCGAACGGUAAGGCCCUUCGGGGUACACGAGUGGCGAACGGGUGAGUAACACGUGGGUGAUCUGCCCUGCACUUCGGGAUAAGCCUGGGAAACUGGGUCUAAUACCGGAUAGGACUCCGGACUGCAUGGUCUGGGGUGGAAAGCUUUUGCGGUGUGGGAUGGGCCCGCGGCCUAUCAGCUUGUUGGUGGGGUGAUGGCCUACCAAGGCGACGACGGGUAGCCGGCCUGAGAGGGUGACCGGCCACACUGGGACUGAGAUACGGCCCAGACUCCUACGGGAGGCAGCAGUGGGGAAUAUUGCACAAUGGGCGCAAGCCUGAUGCAGCGACGCCGCGUGAGGGAUGACGGCCUUCGGGUUGUAAACCUCUUUCAGCAGGGAAGAUAAUGACGGUACCUGCAGAAGAAGCUCCGGCUAACUACGUGCCAGCAGCCGCGGUAA